rnacentral:rRNA from 1 species
UACGUAGGGGGCUAGCGUUAUCCGGAAUUACUGGGCGUAAAGGGUGCGUAGGUGGUUUCUUAAGUCAGAGGUGAAAGGCUACGGCUCAACCGUAGUAAGCCUUUGAAACUGAGAAACUUGAGUGCAGGAGAGGAGAGUAGAAUUCCUAGUGUAGCGGUGAAAUGCGUAGAUAUUAGGAGGAAUACCAGUUGCGAAGGCGGCUCUCUGGACUGUAACUGACACUGAGGCACGAAAGAGUGGGGAGCAAACAGGAUUAGAUACCCGGGUAGUCCCUGAG